CUGGUGUUUCUCUGGUUCAGCAGCUCCAGACAGGACGACUGAAGCUACAGACGCUGAGAAGGAAGAAGAGAAGAUCGUUCUGCAGCAGGUAAUCAUCAUCUUCAACAUCUGCAUCAUCUCCACCAUGAAGACGCUGACUCUGUCUGCACUUCUUUGUGCCAUGAUGGCUCUGACCAGAGCUGCUGCUCUUCCAGACGCAGAGGAUGAACCUGGGACAGAGGGAACUGCUGUCCAAGACACAGAGGCUGGAAACUGGACC